CAGCUGCGCGCCUGGGCCUCCCGCCGCUCCCGGGUGCUGCCGCCUCCGCGCCGCCUCCAUGGCUGCCCUGCGGGUCCCUCGGCCCUGGCUUCCCGAGGAAGAGACCGGCUCGGCUUAGCUGGCCUGGCGGAGGCCGCUACUGGCUUUCCCUGCUGCCCAGGAAAUACAGCAACCUUUGGCUUCAGUCAGCAGCUCCCAAGUUUAUCUUUCUUCCAGCCAAGAGGUUUCCUCCACAGAGGUGAUUUAGAAAACCCCGCUGCCUCUAUCCUGUGGCUCUGCCUUCUUCAACAUGGCUUCCAAGAUGGUCACACCCACCUGCAUUGCACUGGCAGAAGGUGAAAGGCAUAAAUAUCUUGUGUGAGAGGUUUUCAUGGGCCUGGAAUAGCAACAUCAUUUCCAUUCAUAUUCUUUGAUUAGACCUCAGUCAAAUGGCUGUGCCUAACUGCCAUGAAGACUGGACAGUGUAGUCUAUUUGUGUGUCUUGGAAGAAAAGGAGAUAGAUUUGGUGAGCUAACCCAUCUUGCCAGAGUGAGCAUCCAUCAUAUGGUUCUCAAUUUGUGAUAAUGGAUACCUAGGUUGCCCUCACUUUCCCAUCACUUUGAUAAAGCCGUGUGGAAGGUCCUUGUACAUUUCCUCCUAAAAACCUCUGUGAGUUCUCUGUGAUAAACACUAACGUUUGGUUUUACCUAUCUAUCUUUUGCCACUCUGACGUCCAAGUUUAAAAAGUGGUAUCUUGUGAUUGCAUUCCUCUGAUUACUAAUAGAUUUGAGCAUCUCUUCUAUUUUGGGCUUCUGCUUCUGUGAAUAGCUUAUUGUUUUUCUAUGCUGUUCUUUUGCAGGGUUUCCUGUGGCGUUUUCUUUCUUACUGAUCUGCAUCAGUUUUUAUAUAACCUAGAAGAUAAUCACUCUUUUGUUUUAGACACUAUAAAUAGUCUCUCUAAAUCAGACAGCUGCUUUUAACUUGAUCUGCAUUAAACAGAAAUCCUUAAUAGUGACAUAAUCAAAUCCUUCAAAUUUUGGGCUUAUUAUAUUUUCUUGGGGUUUUUUUUUUUUAGGUAUUUUCCUAUUUUAGGUCACAUUUCCUGUAUUUUCUUCUUUUAUGUUACCAUUUCUUUUGUUUACAUUUCAAAUACAGUAUAAAACAAGGAUUUGUUAUUUCUCUGCAUAUAAUAAACUAGUUUUCCUAAACUCAUCUCUAAAUAGUCUAUCAUUUUUCUCUGAUUUCUGAUUUAUCAUCCAUCAAUUUUUCUUGCACACAUGGUUUUAUUUCAGAGCUCUCUUGUUUGUCCAUUAGUGUGUCUAUUCCUGUGUCAUUAUAAUACAGUUUUUGUUUCUAUGGCUUUGCAGUAUGUUUUAUUACACACAUGACAGGCUGGAUUAUGUCAAACUAACCCUACUGCUGAGAGCAACAAUAAACAUUGGGUGAGGGAUGGGGGAAAUUAACUAAAAAGCUUACAGAAGCUCAUAGAGCAACCAAAAGCAGCUAAGACUUCAGAAGCCAAGAUCUGGAGCUCAUUAAGGAAUCCUCAUAUUGACUUUCACUUUUCUUGAGGGGUAUUCUCUAAUUUCUGAAACUGGGAAGAGAGGUCGAGCAAAAACUGUUGAAUGGCUGGGAAGAAAGGUGUUGGCAUUUGAGGCUACCACAGCAAUGGACAUAUUAAGGGUCAAGAUCCCAAAGAGGAAGAAGCCAUGGAGAAGAAAGCCUAAAUUUGUGAGUUUUCCUGCAAGGCAUUUGCCAGUUCCUAAAUCACAUCUGUGUGGGACAUAGCUGAGAAACCAAGCAGAAAUUAAGGCCAACCUAGAAUUCUAUAGCCAUAGGAAUAGCCUUCAGAAAUGAAGGUGCAAUAAAAAUGUUUCAAAUGAACAGAAACUUAAAGAAACUUCAGAAAAAGAAAAAAAAAAAAGAGUAUCUGUGAAUAAUACACUCACAGUAAAAUAAAUACCAAAGGGAAUCCUUCAGGCAGAAGAAAAAUCAUUGCAAAUAGAAUUCAUGACACACUAAUGAGAAGUGGAAAUUUAAUACAAAAGAAAAAAAAAGGAACAAAGAACAAAUGAGAUAAAUAGUAGGAUGAUAGCUUUUAGCCAACUUUUAUCAGUAAUCACAUUACAUAUAAAUGGCUAAAUAGUUCAAUUAAAAGGCUAAGAUUGUCUGGGCACCGUGGCUCAGGCCUAUAAUCCCAACACUUUGGGAGGGCAAAACAGGCGGAUUGCUUGAGCCCAGGAGAUCCAGACUAGCCUAGGCAACAUGGUGAAACCCAAUCUCUAUAAAAAAUACAAAAACUAGCCCAGCAUAGUGGCACAUGCCUGCAGUCCCAGCUACUCCAGAGACUGAGAUGGGAGAAUCACCUGAGCCCAGGAAGUUAAGGCUGCAGUGAGCCAUGAGUGCACCACUGUACACCAGUUUGGGUGGUAGAAUGACACCCUGUCUCAAAAAAAAAAAAAAAAAAAAAGCUGACUGCCACAAUGGAUUUUUUUUAAAGCAAAAAUAUUCUGCCUACAAAAGACAUAUUUUGAAUUUGAAGACAUGGAAAGUUUGAAAGUAAAAGAAUGUCAAAGACAAAUGCUUGAAGAAAACUAAUGUAGCUUUACUAAUAUAAAACAAAGUAAACUUUAAAGGAAUAAAUAUUAAUAGAGAUAAAGAGAAACACUUCUCAUAAUAAAUAAAUGGUUAAUUUCAACAGGAAGAAGUAAUCAUAAUUUCAUAUGAGAUACGAACAUAGCCUUAACAUAUAUCAUGUAAAAGUAGACAGAUGUAAUUAAGGAAUAGACAAAUCCACAAUCACAUUUGAAAAUUUUAACAUUAUCAGUAACUGGUAGUAUAAGCACACACACAAAAAAGGAUAUGAAAUAUUUGAGUAAUGGAGUUAAAUUGACUUGACAAAAUUAAAACACUACACUCAACAAGAAGAGAAAGCACAUUCUUCUCAAGUACACAUUGAACAUUUCCUCCAGAUAAAUCACAUGCUGAGACAUACUCAAACUUCAAUAAAUAUCAAAGGAAUGAAAUUCUACAGAUUGUGUUCUUUGACUGUGGAACUAAGCCAAACAUCUAUCAUAUGUAGAUAAUCAUAUGACCCCCAACCACUUUGAAAUUUGGUAGGACAUCUAAAUAACUUAUGAAUAAAAAAAUGACAUGAGAAUUAGAAAAUAUUUUUAACUGAAUAAUAAUAAAAACACAACAUACCAAAACUUGCAGGAUCAUUACAACUAAAGGUUCUCAAAUGCAAAUCUAUUGCUUCAAAGUGAUUCAGAUCAUAACAUCAUUUGUUCUUGUCUAAAUCCUUUUUUGAUUUCCUAUAUCACCAACCCUAACAAAAUUAAAAGGCAGGAUAAGAGAAAAACCACUUACGAAAACAAAGAUAAGGUGGAAAACAAAACUAAGGAAAAAACAAAGAAAACUGUGGCUUGACAUAUUUGAAAGGUUUACAUCAUCUUGGUAUAGUAUAUUUGCUGUGUAAAUAAGUAUGUUAGAGAAGUUGAUGCAAUUUCUUAAUUUGAUUCUUGUAAUAAACAUAUAUAAUUUUAUUUUUAAACUGUAGGAUGUCAACUAGACAGUGAUUAGAGGAAAAUGUAUGGCCUUAAAUGUAUAUUUAGAAAUGAAAAAAAAAAAAAAAGACUAAAAAUUGGCUGGGCAUGGUGGCUCAUGCCUGUAAUCCCAGCACUUUGGGAAGCAGAGGCAGGCAGAUCACUUGAGGUUAGGAGUUUGAAACCAGCCUGGCCAACAGGGUGAAAUCCUGUGUCUACUAAAAAUAUAAAAAUUAGCCAGAUGUGGUGGUGCAUGCUUGUAAUCCCAGCUACUCGGGAGGCUGAACUGGGGAGGAGGUGAUUGAAGUGAGCCAAGGUUGCACCACUGCACUGGAGCCUAGGUGACAGAGCCAGACUCUGUCUCAAAAAAGAAACAAAAAAAGUUACGAAUUGAAAAUCAGGAAUCUAAAAGGAACAAAUUAGGAUCAAAUAAAGAAAAAGCAGAGAAGGAGUAAAGAGCAGAAAUCUGUGAAACAGAAAAAAACUUGCAAUGUGGAAAAUAAAUCCAAACAUUCAUUCUUUGAAAAAGAUAAAAAAAUUGAUAGGGCAGGUACAGUGGCUCAUGCCUGUAAUCCUAGCACUUUGGGAAGCUGAAGUGGGAGGAUCACUUGAACCAAGGCUAAGGCUGCAGUGAGCUGUGAUUGCUUCACUGUUUUUAAGCUUGGGUGACAGAGUGAGACCUUAUUAAAAAAAAUUUGAUAAAUGGUAGUAAGACUAAUUAAGAAAAACAAAGACAGAAUAUGAAUUACCAGUAUGAGGAAUGAAAAAAGCAAGCUAUGAAAACAGAUGCUACAACUAUUAAAAUGAUGAAAAGAUAGUAUAAAAAAUAUAUGCUAAUAAACUUGAAAAUUUGAAGUGAAUAAAUUCUUUGAGAAACCCCAUUUACCAAAACAAACAUAAGAAAAAGUACAAAAUGUACAUACACCUACACCUACUUUUAAAGCUUUCAUCCAUAAUUAGAAACCUCCCCUCAAAGAAAACACUAGAGGAGAAAAAAGGGAAAAUUCCUCAACUUUCAGGCCAGCAUAACUUUGAUAUCAAAAUGUAACAAGGCUAUUACAAAAAGAACUUACAGACUAAUGUUUCUAAUAAACAAUAGAAGUAGGGUGGGUGUGAUGGCUCAAGCCUGUUAUCCCAGCACUUUGGAAGGCUGAGCCAGGCAGAUCACCUGAGGUCAGGAGUUCGAGACCAGUCUGGCGAACAUAGUAAAAAUCUGUCUCUACUUAAUAAAAUUUUAAAAAUUACCUGGGCAUAGGGGCACAUGCCUGUAAUCCCAGCUACUCAGGAGGCUGAGGCAGGAGAAUCACUUGAACCUGGGAGGCGGAGGUUGCAGUGAGCCAAGAUGGCGCCACUGCACUCCAGCCUGGGUGACAGAGUGCGAUUCCAUCUCAAAAAAAAAUUUUUUUUUUAAUCCAACUCCAUUACUGAGGAAACCUCUUCAGAGCUCCCCUUGUCUGGAGGGCCCCUGACCCCAACUCUAGGAGGCCAGAGCUUGGAUCUCAGUUGCAUGAACUGGAGCUGGUUGCUUAAUCUCUUUGUGCCCACUUUUCUUCAUAUGUAGCAUGAGACCUUGUAACCUAACUCACUGGCUCAGAAGCUCAAAACAGGGUGAGAAGAACAUUCAAACACAUCGCCAGGAGAGUAGAAACCGGAUAUAUUUUCUGGAAAGUAAUUUGGAUAGAUAUAUUCAGAAAUAUUCAAAUGCUGUGAGCUGGUAAUUCCAUUACUAGAAAUUUAUUAUUGGCACAUAAUCAGAUAUACAGACAAAAAUGCAAGUAAAAAGAGGUUUGUGGCACUAUUAUUUUAAUAGCAAUAUUUUGGUAAACAUCUUGAAAGUCCAACAAUCAGGGCGUGACCACCAAAAGUGCGACACAUCUAUUCUGAUAAAUGCAGCCAUUACGAAUUGCUAUAGCAGAAUGUUUGGUAACAUUGAAAAAUGCCCAUGACUUUGUUAAAACAAAACAAAAAAAGAUACAGAACUCUUUGUGUGGUAUGGCUCCAAUUUUGUUUCAUGAAUUAUAUAUGUCUAUGGGCUUAGAAAAAAAAAACUAGUUGGAAAUUUACCGAAAAUCUUAUUGCUAUUGGUAUAAUUCUAUAUAUAUUUAAAAUUGACAUUUGAAAAAUUUUCCCAGGAUUCCUCCUAAGCAUGUGUUGCUUUGUAAUAAGAGAAGCAAAUAUUUUAAAAGUAACCCAAAUUAAAACUAUUUGUGGAAAACUGCUUUGAAAAUCAUUGUGCUACACAAAUGUGAGAUGUUGUAAGUACAUUUCUGGGGCUUUAGAAGCACAGGCAGAUUCCUGCCGAAAUCAAUACAUUUCACUGCAAGGAAGAUAAAUGGGUGAGUGGGUGGCCAUGCUGAGCACAGCUCCUAAGGCAUAUGCUCCCCCUGCCUGCUCCACCCCUGCAGCCCAGCAGUGACCAGUCCUGCCAGCUCUAAGCCCUGCUUGUUUUUCUUCUCUCCCUGGAUCCACCACCCAGUCCUCCUUCUUCUGGUAGGUAUGAACGAGUCUGUCUGGUCUUGUCUGCUGGGUGAAUCAUGCCUCAGAAAUGGGAAGUGGCCUUAAGGCCAGGGCCUGUCUCCAUGGAAGAGCUGGGACUAGCCUCAUAUGUGACGUCAGCUGAGUGCUGAGGGUUUCACUGCAGCUUCCGGGCUAGAUGGCAGGCAUGGGUGUGGCCAUGUUUCUGGGCUUCUGGGCCAGGUCCUGAUGGAAUGCUAAAGUGAUAUGACCAGGCACAGGUGAGGAGAAGGCUGCUUCUCCUGUGGUAUGAUUAGAGGGCAUCCUUAGUUCUCUUUGGCGCUGACUCACUCUCCUCCCAUCCUGAAAUCACAAUUAUAAGAACUCCUUUGCCAGGGAAGGCAACUGACAGGAGCAGACACGGAGGCUCCUGCUGAAAUGCACGUGGAUCACACAGGGCAGCAGCAUCUCUUAGUAUUAGCACCAGGCUCUGGAAACAGUCGAGCUUAGGUUUGGACCCCAACUCCUCUACUGCUUGGGGAUGUCCCUUGGUGUCUCUGAUGACAAAAAGCACUUACAUAUGCCAAGCAUAUGUCAGGUACAAUUCUAAGUGACCUUCUUCUAUUAACUCACAACAACCUUAUUAGGAAGAUACUCAUAAUUGCACCCAUAUUGCAGAGGAGGAAAUUGAGGCACAGGGUGGUGAAUUAACUUGCUCAAGGUCUCACAGGAUCAGCGCUAGGAUGAGUCCACACCCAGUGUGGCUCCCAUGCUUUUAAUGACCAGGUUUGGAAAUCUUAUUGGUAUCAGAUGGGAUAAUAAUAGAAAUUAUGACUUAUUAGGGGCUUACUCACUGUACUAAAUGCUAUAUAGGAAUUUUCCCAAUGCGAGGAUGGGGCAAGGACUAUUGUUAGGGGCUAACAUCACCCUGGCAGGACAGCUAACUGUAUACAAGGCCCUGUGUGAAGGGCUGGGCCUUCAGGAGAUUGCUCUGGCAUAAAGAGUUAAAAUGUGUCCAUAAUAACUGUGAUUCAUGGUAGAAUCAUAGCUUGAUGGAGCUGGAAGAAAGCUUAAAGGUCAUCUGGUUUAAACUCAUUUUUACUGAUGACGAGAACCAGAGUGUGUGUGGGAGGGUGGUGGGGAGGUUUACUCCCAGAGAGUUUUGGGAGAUUUAGUGAGAUGAUAACAACAGCCAGCACUUACUGAGUUUGGGUGCUGUGUAUGCAUGUGUGUUUAUCGCGGUCUACCUCCCAACCAGAUGAGGGUGGUGCUAUUGUUAUCCCAGGUUCACAGAUAGGCAAACGGAGAUGUUGAGUUGAGCAAGUACCUUGCCCAGCAGCACACAGCUAGCAAGUGGUGGAGUGGGAAUGCUUGCAGACUGGAUUCCAGAGCUCGGUGCUGACCCACUGUGCUUAACGCCAUCCCAGUUAUAGAAGGAGGUUAAAAGACCUGGGAAGAAGCUGGUCUAGGUGGAUAGGAAAGGGCUUUGGAGACUACAAAGUCUUGUACAGACACAAGUAAUUAUUAGAAGGAGGUAAAGGUCCCAAGAGAGGUAUAAAGGGAUAUAGAACUCACCGCAAAAUCAAGGAAGAUCUCCAGGAUGAGGUGGCAUUUGCUUUGGAUGUGGACCUGCGCUCCUGGGGUAGGAGUGAGGACUGUUCAGAGUAUGUGUGGGAUGGUGGUGGGGUUUCCUCCAGCCCUUCCCCAUUGGCAUGGAAUGGCUCAGUAAGUUAGUUAAUUGGCACCUUAGCCCAAGUGAAGUGACUAGGGCCACACAAAGCAUUGGGCACCUAAAGCUGGGU